GCCACGGCCCAGACUCCUACGGGAGGCAGCAGUGGGGAAUAUUGGACAAUGGGGGAAACCCUGAUCCAGCAAUGCCGCGUGUGUGAAGAAGGCCUUCGGGUUGUAAAGCACUUUCGGUGGGGAAGAAAUUCUCAAGGGUAAUAUCCUUGGGCGUUGACGUUACCCACAGAAGAAGCACUGGCUAACUCUGUGCCAGCAGCCGCGGUAAUACAGAGAGUGCAAGCGUUAAUCGGAAUCACUGGGCGUAAAGCGCGCGUAGGUGGAUAUUUAAGUCGGAUGUGAAAGCCCUGGGCUUAACCUGGGAAUUGCACCCGAUACUGGGUAUCUUGAGUAUGGUAGAGGGAAGUGGAAUUUCCGGUGUAGCGGUGAAAUGCGUAGAUAUCGGAAAGAACACCAGUGGCGAAGGCGACUUCCUGGACCAAUACUGACACUGAGGCGCGAAAGCGUGGGGAGCAAACAGGAUUAGAGACCC
rnacentral:rRNA from 1 species